rnacentral:lncRNA from 1 species
AAAUGCAAGCAAAACUCAAAAUAAAGCUAAUAUUAACAAUACUCAAGUAAUUCACCACAAUCAGUAAUUAUUCAUUUUCUACCAAGCUAAGCUAAGUUAAACACAUCAAAAUUGUUCAGAUAUUUAUUCAUCACAUAAAAAAAGGUGAGGUGAAGUGGUGUUGUCAUUUCAUACUAAGUAAUUAGCAGAGAGACAGAGAGAGGUAUACUAGUUUUAGUUAUAGUGUUUUACUGUUUUGUACUUGCAACCUCCUCUUUUAUUCAUCGGAUGGGUACCCUAAAAGGGACAAAAAUAACAUCACUUGUUUCUUUCAAGCUAGGCUGUGAUUGCGAAUGAAAAGAAAAUGAAAGAGAAGUGAUCCUCACCAUAUUUUGUGUGGAUAGAAGGACUAGGAAACAAAAAAGAUAUUACAAGAAGAUUCUUAUCGAAUUUGUUCUACUAUAAUCAAGAUGAACUUUGCGGUCCCAUAUUUUUUUGUCUGUGAUUUUCCAAAUAGUGUUUUCCUUUUAUAACCCCAAACACGUAAGAGCUAUGAUUGCAAACCAAAGUUGUCUGCAUGGUUUGAAUUAUGAAGAGAGGUUGAAGGAUAUUUGAUUUGAUUAGUAUGGAUCACAGAGCUUCCCUCAUCCAAGUAAUUGUUAGAGAACUUUGUUGUCCCGUAUUUCCCUUGCCAAUGCAAUAAAGUCAAUUAUUGAAAGACCAAAUAGUAG